rnacentral:misc_RNA from 1 species
GAUGAAGAACGCAGCGAAAUGCGAUAAGUAAUGUGAAUUGCAGAAUUCAGUGAAUCAUCGAAUCUUUGAACGCACAUUGCGCCCGCCAGUAUUCUGGCGGGCAUGCCUGUUCGAGCGUCAUUUCAACCAUCAAGCCCCAGGCUUGUGUUGGGGACCUGCGGCUGCCGCAGGCCAUGAAAACCAGUGGCGGGCUCGCUGACACACCGGGCGUAGUAGAUUUUAUCUCGCUCAGGGCGUGCUGCGGGUUCCGGCCGUUAAAAAGCCUUUUUUACCCAAGGUUGACCUCGGAUCAGGUAGGAAGACCCGCUGAACUUAAGCAUAUCAAUAAGCGGAGGA